GUUCUGUUCACUGUGCUGUCUCUGUUCUAACGCUCUCUCUGUUCUGACCUUGUCUCGACGCAAGGCUACUUGAAGGUGAAAUGAAGCGUUUGUCAAGGCUUGCCUGUGGAGGCUUUUGUUCUUAUUCAGUUCUCUAAUGCGGUUCUUAACAGAAUCAAAUGUGUGUUUGGCAGACAGAUAAAGAUAUUCAAUAUCUGCUUGUAUAUAUUGGUUGGGUUUGCUUCCAGGUAAUUCUAGUUCAUGUAUUUUAUUGCCAUGAUGUCAGUAUGCUCGUUGUUUGGUGCAUGCUGUAUAUUCUGUUGUACCCAGUGUCCACUCCCUGCAUGUGGUCUCCUCUCCCAUCUCGAUGGGCUGGGAGGGAGCUUCGGGGAAGCUGAGAGUUCGCUGCAUGUCCCGUGCAUGUGGAAGCCGGUCUCAAAUGCAUUGCACGUUGUUUUUGGGAUAGAUUCAGACUAGAUCCCCAACCCGCAGAUCCACAAAUGCCUCCCUAAAAUCAUUUCUGUGGAUCUUAACCUUUCUGUAACGCACAUUCCUCUGGCUGAGCUCUCCCAAGCAGACUGACUCUUUCACUGUAGAUGAAGUCAGAUACAUGCUGCACUCAGACUUUCUCCUCUGGCGUUCAUGUGAUCGGCCCCUGAUAUAUCCUGGGGAAGGAGAAACUUCCACUUGCACACAAUCGCAGCAGUCAGCAACCACAUCAGCUUAUUCUCUUUCAGCAGUAAUAUAAGUGAAUGUUAAAUGCGGUUAUAGUUAGUGAAUUUGGGAAAUUGCCCUCACAUAACUACUGUAUGAGCAGGAGUAUCCCAGACGCUACACAACUCGCGUGGCUGUUCAAAUAAAAACGUUUGCAUUCCAGUGCAGCUUCCCUCUCUGCUGCACAGAAAAGUUGGCACUCGACAUUUCCUGACUCCUCAUCGCAUGCUACCAGAACCUUCCCUUUUAUAAUUGUUUUCACUUUCCUUGUGGCACACUGACUCUCAGUGAAUUAUAAUUAACCUCAGUAACACUGUUUUGUGCUCCUUUUGCUGUUCUCUGGUUGGACAGAGCUCCGAACUGCACCAGCCCCCAGGAAGCACUCGUGGCCCAAGAGCAGAGGGAAUUUCUGCCACUGCACCCUCUACAAGGAGAACAAGGACACCAUGGAGGCCAUCAACGUGCUCUCCAAGUUCCUCAG